GCUCAGAUUCAGUUUAUGUAGCAAGCACUUCACUGGCUGAGUAAGCUCCCUAGCUCCUGAAAUAUUGCUUUGUGAAAAUAAUAAACAGAAAAAAAAUGUAAUAUACUUCAUCCUAAUUUCUAAUACUCCAGUUCUGAAAAUUCUAUGUUUACAUAUAUGUCUAUAUGUUUUUAUGUUUUCCUUUCCUUUUUUUGGUGAGCUUACCUAACUAAAGUAAGAGCGGUACCAGUAAUUCUCAUGUUGGUGUAGAAUUUGAAUUCAUUGUAGGCUGCUGCACUUUUCCUACAUUGACCAUUUAAGGAAGAGCCUUGUAUCUUCACGUACUGAUGUCCCUGGAAGGGUUUUACUUAGUUUUAACCUCUGUGAUGGCUGUAAGUGUGGAGACUAUUCUUAGCCGAUCCAUGGCUGCCCCUCAUGGCGUACAGCCUCACUGGGACUUCUAACCACAGAGCGGUGGUGAAUGAAGCUCGGGUUUUCCUCACCUGGGUUGUGAGGAUAAGAUUUCUUCAUGUUUGGUGCCCAGGCACACAGUAGGGGCUUUACUCAUUCUUUUUCAUUUACUAGAUUAUCAUUUUGUUUACAUGCUUACAGAUCCAAGUGGAAUGUAAAUAACAUGGCGAUGUUUUAAAAAAAAUGACACACUGGAUAGAUUUCCUAGUCUUGAAAAGGAAGUUUGUACGUGGGAGUCUGAACUUCAUUUGACAACAGCUUUGAUACGGUCGAGCAAAGAGUACAGUUCAGAAUUCUGGGGUUCUAGCUUUUCCUCUUCUGGGUCUUUGUUCUGUCAGAGACUCUGGACGUCUGGCAGACACUUUGUAGUCAGAAACUUAAGUCCUUUUCUUAGAGUGGAAAGGUGCAGUGGAGGUGACUCACAGAGAAUGGCAGGGACACAGAGCAACUUGCCUAUAUGGGCCAUCUCUCCCAGAGACACAGCACCUCCUGCUGUUAGCUCUCUCCCACUCCACAGCCCCAGCAAAAAAACGCCCGGGAUGCCUCUGCUUGCUAUGGUCUUAGGACACACGAGGUCUACCUGACCUCAUUUUGCGCCUGUUUAACGUGAGUCUGGACUGCUUUCUCUUGCGCUUAGCGUGUAAGUUCCGGUGAAGCCCAGCCGUAAGCAUCCUGCCACAGAGAAAAUGCACCACACAUAUUUUAUUAAAGAAAGAACAAAGGGAACAGAAAUGAAAGGAGACAUGGGGAAGUGGAGGGACCUGGAAGGAGAACACAGAAAGCUGAGGAUGAAAAGAGAUGUCUUGUACCUCACUGGGCUUAUCACAAAAGCAGUACUCUUUAUUAAUGAGGGGGGUGGGGGGUGGUGGGGGGUGGGGGUGGUGGUGGAUAGGGAGGGAGCCUGCAGGACUCUGGAAGAAGUCUAGACUUGGUUAUGUGGAAAUUUGUAGUAACAAGUUUGCCAAAUGUUUCCUCGUGAACAAUAAGAGUAGGAGAAGGUCUGGGAACUUUGGAGAGGCUUGCAAAUUGUCGGGAAUUUGUGGCUCUUAGGUGUUGAGGCUGAGGGUCGAUCCUGUGAGUAGCUGGGAAAGCCUUAAUGGGGUCCAGCUGUAUGCCCAGAGACUGCCCCUUCUCAGAUUCACAUUAACCAGGUAGAGGCCCUGCCCUGCCUGCCUCCCUGUGGACUUUAUGGGUCCCUGUAGAUUGUUGCAUUGAUCUUUCAGUUUUGGGUUUUAUAGCAAUUCUAAGCAUGUGAGCGUACAUAUUCACUCUUUGAUGUGCCCUUUGAUAGAAGCCAGAGUGCUUUACCUGUGCCUGUGUUUAAUAAUGGUGGUGGUAGUGGUGUGGGGGGGGGUCACAUGCCCCGCAGCACAAUACUCCCUGCAAUGCUGGUUGUGUGCCACCUUAUUGGGGAUACUGAUUGGUGGGGCUUUAAUCAGGGGUGUUUGAACAUGAAAUAGAUUAAAAGUAGUUAGAUAUGUAGCUUUGUUGCCAUUUUGCUUUGUUUGAAACCACAUUUUUUUUUGUUUCAUUGUGCCAUUCCCUGGAAAGGAGGGCAGGCGGGGACACAGGAGACCCAAAUGGCAAAAAUCCAUAGAAUCACAGAGCAUCUGUGAUUUCUCAUAGUUUUACUCUUACUUUAUUUUUUUUUUCUGAUAUUCUUUUAAGAAGACAAGUAUUGUUCCCAUUUUCAGACAGGUCAAGUUAAACAUUUCAGAACUCUGCUUUCACUCCAUUAGACCUUUGAGCUCUUCUAACAUGUUAAAAAUCCAACAUGGCCAUGACACAGAAGGAUGUUUGUCAAGGCUUACGGGGUAGUGGCUGCCUAUUUUGUCCAGCACUCACCGCAUAUAGACAGCACCAUAUGUUUGAGAGUUGGGCGAGCCUUCUGUGAGACCGUCCCCUAUAUGGGAAUUCCUCUCUUACAAGGCAACAGCGGCCUGGUCUGACUAGGCUUACAUAUUUCCAGCUCCAAACUGCCAAUAUAUCCAAGGGUUGGGAUAGUUGAAUAAAUCUUCAUAUACUUAUGCCCAACUGUAUUUAGCAGAAGUGAUCAUAUUAUGGUUUUAUAUCUUCCUUUGGCUUUUUUUUUUUAAAGCAACCCUAUUUUUUUUUUCUUUUCAAGUUGUUUUUUUUUUUAACUUCCCAUGUCCUUCAAUUAGCAAGGACUUGGUUUGAGGGGCCAGAAGUUCCUGAGAUGCUGAUGCAGCUUUUCAGGUGACAGGGUUACCUUCGGAUU
rnacentral:lncRNA from 1 species